GAUGAACGCUAGCUACAGGCUUAACACAUGCAAGUCGAGCGGUUUGUGCUUUUGCACAUUCAGCGGCAGACGGGUGAGUAACACGUAUCUAACCUUCCCCUUACUUGGGCAUAGCCUCUGGAAACGGAGAUUAAUUUCCGAUGUGGUGUACAUUUCGCAUGUUUUGCGCACCAAAGAUUUAUCGGUAAGGGAUGGGGAUGCGCUCCAUUAGGUUGUAGGUAGGGUAAUGGCCUACCUAGCCUAUGAUGGAUAGGGGUUCUGAGAGGAAGGUCCCCCACAUUGGAACUGCGACACGGUCCAAACUCCUACGGGAGGCAGCAGUGAGGAAUAUUGGUCAAUGGCCGGAAGGCUGAACCAGCCAAGUAGCGUGCAGGAUGACUGCCUUAUGGGUUGUAAACUGCUUUUUUACGGGAAUAAUUAUGAUCACGUGUGAUUAUUUGCAUGUACCGUAAGAAUAAGGAUCGGCUAACUCCGUG
rnacentral:rRNA from 1 species